AUAUAUUACUUUGUAAGUAUAUUAAUAAUCACGUUGUGGGUACUAAUUAAUGCAGUUGUAAAUCAUUUGAAUUAAAAACAAAAUAGUUGAUGUUUGAAUCCAUGGGAGUAAAUUUAGUUGUUAUUAAGCUAAAUUAGCCACUUAGGCUUUAGCCCAGUGGUGAACCAUUGACCUUAUGGUGUGUUUACGUCAUAGAAUGAGAAUGUGGUAGAAUAGGAAUGGGCUGGGAAUGAGAAUGAGUUGGAAUGAGAAUGCGAUUUUAAUGUUUACUCGGCAAAAAUAAAUGGGAAUGAGAAUGUGCUGAAAUGUCAUUGAUGUAUUUACUUGACAAAAUAAAUGGGAAUGAGGAAUGUGAAUGAAAAUCAAUUUACCAAAAUACUUAUAGUAUUAAUAAUUA
rnacentral:lncRNA from 1 species